AAGGUUGGUUCAAGAAUGAAACUGGAAUCAAGAAACUCUUCAUUUCCUCUCCAACAUAUACCGCAAGAUAGCCUUUUGUGACUUCUACUUCCUUGUUUGAUGUUUGACUUGCGCUAAAUGAUGAUCGUCUAAUACUAGGAGAUAGCCUUUUUGGACAUCCAUUUCCUUGGUAGAUGCUUGACUUGCACCAUAUGAUGACCGUCUAAUACCAGUUACAUAUAGACAGUGGAAGGAAACCAUUCACUACCGAAGUGGAUGGUGAAUGGGUUAUUCAACGGAAUUUAGAGAGAGACAGAGCUCAUUAAUGAUCACAUGGCACUAUCUUGAAGACUUUCAUUGAGGAUUACAUAAAAGUCUUCAUCACAGUCCAACGCUUGCAAACAUUAUGAAUAUAAUUAAUAAUCUGUGAUCAAAACAUGUUUUAGACUGAGAUAAAUUAUUAGCAUAUGCAUUUCUUCAUUUUGACUUCAAACGUAGGCUGGUUGAUGAAUAUGCAAAUUUUGAAUUAAUUGGCACGCCA